rnacentral:lncRNA from 1 species
UUUCCCUUUAUUUUAAAUUAUUAUUACUUUUUAUUUUUUUUCUAAGAUGAAGCGGCGAUAUAAAUCUAAUAUGAAUAUGAUAAAAUAAAUAAGAAAAUAAAAUAUUACAGAAGCAUUCUGGGCGUCGGUCCAUAAAACUUCAUAUCGAUAUGAUUGCCUUAUAACAAAGGAGAUGAUUUAGUUAACAGCAUCAUUCGCCUCCUGAUGAAUAUGCUGGAUGUCCCGGGGAGGAGCACUCCCUC